UCGGGAAUUUUGGGCAAUGGGCGAAAGCCUGACCCAGCAACGCCGCGUGAAGGAUGAAGUAUUUCGGUAUGUAAACUUCGUAAGAAUAGGAAGAAUAAAUGACGGUACUAUUUAUAAGGUCCGGCUAACUACGUGCCAGCAGCCGCGGUAAUACGUAGGGACCAAGCGUUGUUCGGAUUUACUGGGCGUAAAGGGCGCGUAGGCGGCAUGACAAGUCACUUGCGAAAUCUCUGGGCUUAACCCAGAACGGCCAAGUGAUACUGUCGCGCUAGAGUGCAGAAGGGGCAAUCGGAAUUCUUGGUGUAGCGGUGAAAUGCGUAGAUAUCAAGAGGAACACCUGAGGCGAAGGCGGGUUGCUGGGCUGAUACUGACGCUGAGGCGCGAAAGCUAGGGUAGCAAACGGGAUUAGAUACCCCCGUAGUCCCUGAGCGGGCUGGCAAGGCGCAU
rnacentral:rRNA from 1 species